GGGGUCUCACUAUGUUGCCCAGGCUGGUCUCAAACCCCUGGGCUCAAGCAAUCUGCCUGCCUUGGCCUCCCAAAGUGCUGGGAUUACAGUUUCUUCUACCAGCAAAACCUAACAGGAAAACAGAUGGUAAAGGAUAAAAGUGUUUGCGGAAUCCUAGUCCCAGCAUCACAGAGCUAGAAGAGAAGGUUUGAAGCUGAGAGACAAUGGCUUAGUAACUAACACAGAGAUGCCACAUGUAGAUAAAAAAAGGAGAAGAAAAAUCUAAAGACUGAGUUAUGAGAGAAAAACUGGAAGUCACAGAAAUUAAAACUCAGUUUUAAUUUCAUGAUGUGACAAGCUCCAUGCCAAUUUUUUCUAUUAAGAUAAUAUAUUCAGUGUUUUGAGAAUUCAAGGCAUUUGAAAAUCUUUUCAACAAGAAGAAUAUAAAAAAAGGACACAGAG
rnacentral:lncRNA from 13 species